rnacentral:sRNA from 1 species
UUCCUGAUGAUGUGACUGAGUACGUCCAA